AUCUCGUUAGAUUCGUCUCGCAAA
rnacentral:miRNA from 1 species